rnacentral:rRNA from 1 species
UACAGAGGGUGCGAGCGUUGUUCGGAUUCAUUGGGCGUAAAGGGUGCGUAGGCGGCUUAGUAAGUCGGGUGUGAAACCUCCAGGCUCAACCUGGAGACGCCACCCGAUACUGCUGUGGCUAGAGUCCGGUAGGGGAGCGUGGAAUUCCUGGUGUAGCGGUGAAAUGCGCAGAUAUCAGGAGGAACACCAGCGGCGAAGGCGGCGCUCUGGGCCGGUACUGACGCUGAGGAGCGAAAGCGUGGGGAGCAAACAGG